rnacentral:rRNA from 1 species
CGUGAGGAACCUGCCUUUCAGAGGGGGACAACAGCUGGAAACGGCUGCUAAUACCGCAUGACGCAUUCGGAUGGCAUCAUCUGAAUGCCAAAGAUUUAUCGCUGGAAGAUGGCCUCGCGUCUGAUUAGAUAGUUGGCGGGGUAACGGCCCACCAAGUCGACGAUCAGUAGCCGGACUGAGAGGUUGACCGGCCACAUUGGGACUGAGAUACGGCCCAG